rnacentral:rRNA from 1 species
GACGAACGCUGGCGGCGUGCCUAAUACAUGCAAGUCGAACGCUGAAGGAGGAGCUUGCUUCUCUGGAUGAGUUGCGAACGGGUGAGUAACGCGUAGGUAACCUGCCUGGUAGCGGGGGAUAACUAUUGGAAACGAUAGCUAAUACCGCAUAAGAGUAGAUGUUGCAUGACAUUUGCUUAAAAGGUGCAAUUGCAUCACUACCAGAUGGACCUGCGUUGUAUUAGCUAGUUGGUGAGGUAACGGCUCACCAAGGCGACGAUACAUAGCCGACCUGAGAGGGUGAUCGGCCACACUGGGACUGAGGCACGGCCCAGACUCCUACGGGAGGCAGCAGUAGGGAAUCUUCGGCAAUGGACGGAAGUCUGACCGAGCAACGCCGCGUGAGUGAAGAAGGUUGUCGGAUCGUAAAGCUCUGUUGUAAGAGAAGAACGAGUGUGAGAGUGGAAAGUUCACACUGUGACGGUAGCUUACCAGAAAGGGACGGCUAACUACGUG